rnacentral:SRP_RNA from 2 species
GCUGGGCGUGGUGGUGUAUGCCUGUAGUCCCAGCUACUUGGAGGCUGAGACAGGAGGAUCACCUGAGCCUGGGAAGGUCAAGGCUGCAGUGAGCUGUGAUCCAGCCACUGCACGCUAUCCUGGGUGACACAGUGAGACCCUGUCUCAA